AGAGUUUGAUCCUGGCUCAGGAUGAACGCUAGCUACAGGCUUAACACAUGCAAGUCGAGGGGCAGCAUCGCGAUAGCUUGCUAUUGCGGAUGGCGACCGGCGCACGGGUGAGUAACGCGUAUCCAACCUUCCCGCAACUGGGGAAUAACCUUGCGAAAGUAAGACUAAUACCCCAUGGUCUCCACGGAUGGCAUCUGAAAUGGAGUAAAGGUUUCGGCCGGUUGCGGAUGGGGAUGCGUCCGAUUAGCUUGACGGCGGGGUAACGGCCCACCGUGGCAUCGAUCGGUAGGGGUUCUGAGAGGAAGGUCCCCCACAUUGGAACUGAGACACGGUCCAAACUCCUACGGGAGGCAGCAGUGAGGAAUAUUGGUCAAUGGGCGGAAGCCUGAACCAGCCAAGUAGCGUGAAGGACGACUGCCCUAUGGGUUGUAAACUUCUUUUAUGCGGGGAUAAAGUUCGCCACGUGUGGCGUUUUGCAGGUACCGCAUGAAUAAGGACCGGCUAAUUCCGUGCCAGCAGCCGCGGUAAUACGGAAGGUCCAGGCGUUAUCCGGAUUCAUUGGGUUUAAAGGGAGCGUAGGCCGCCUUUUAAGCGUGUUGUGAAAUGUAGGGGCUCAACCCCUGCACUGCAGCGCGAACUGGAGGGCUUGAGUACACACAAAGUAGGCGGAAUCCAUGGUGUAGCGGUGAAAUGCUUAGAUAUCAUGAAGAACCCCCGAUUGCGAAGGCAGCUUACUGGAGUGUAACUGACGCUGAAGCUCGAAAGCGCGGGUAUCGAACAGGAUUAGAUACCCUGGUAGUCCGCGCGGUAAACGAUGGAUGCCCGCUGUUUGCCACUUUGGUAAGCGGCCAAGCGAAAGCGUUAAGCAUCCCACCUGGGGAGUACGCCGGCAACGGUGAAACUCAAAGGAAUUGACGGGGGCCCGCACAAGCGGAGGAACAUGUGGUUUAAUUCGAUGAUACGCGAGGAACCUUACCCGGGCUUGAAUUGCAGGAGAACGAUCCAGAGAUGGUGAGGCCCUUCGGGGCUCCUGUGAAGGUGCUGCAUGGUUGUCGUCAGCUCGUGCCGUGAGGUGUCGGCUUAAGUGCCAUAACGAGCGCAACCCCUCUCCGUAGUUGCCAUCGGGUGAAGCCGGGCACUCUGCGGAUACUGCCACCGUAAGGUGUGAGGAAGGUGGGGAUGACGUCAAAUCAGCACGGCCCUUACGUCCGGGGCUACACACGUGUUACAAUGGCAGGUACAGAGAGAUGGUGUUCUGCAAAGCGCAUCAAAUCCUUAAAGCCUGUCUCAGUUCGGACUGGGGUCUGCAACCCGACCCCACGAAGCUGGAUUCGCUAGUAAUCGCGCAUCAGCCAUGGCGCGGUGAAUACGUUC
rnacentral:rRNA from 1 species